rnacentral:lncRNA from 7 species
GGACGGGGGCGCUAGGUGGGCGGAUCGAGCCUGGAAAGGGGAGUGGGGCUGAUGCCGAUGGCUUCAGCAAUGCAUGCAUCGGCAGAAGGGUGGUAUGGGACGAGUGCCCUAGCGGUGGAAAAUUGGUGGAGAGGAAGGUGGUGAUGGCUGCCACGGAACAGCUGAGAUUGGCAACCGCCUAGGCGACGACUUCUAGGGUGAGGGUCGACGCCGUCGCAAGUGACGCGAGGGCAGGGGUUGAGGCAGCCAGUAGUAACACAGAGGACGUCGGAGGCGAGGUGGUGGUGGCUGGAGGGCCUUGACAUCACAGAUACCAGAUUGAUAGGAUUGCGGAUCCUACCGGGAAUGUGGCGUAGGGAAUAGAGGUGAGGUGCAGGGGACCAACGACGAUCACGACACUGGGGCGCCGUGGCUGGGCUCGGCUGAAGGAGAGCAAGAGAACAGAGGGUGCUACAGCACCCGCGCUACAGUCCCACGCUGCUGUUGGAUUGGGGCUGCAAGCGAGAGAAGGAAGAAGGGGUGGCA